rnacentral:sRNA from 1 species
GGGGCGGGGACCUGGGGGCGGGGGCCUGGGGGCGGGCGCCUGGGCCAAGAGCUCGGUCUGCACCCUCUGAGUCCCGCUGGGGGAAAGUGGGGAACCCAAGGAGGACGCAGGUCCUGGGAAGGGAAAGCCGAGGCCCAGCCUAAGACUUGGCGGACAUCGCCUCUUGCUUCCCACAGUGCCGGGCGGCGGUGUCCGUAGCCUUCGCUGAAGUGGAGCGGCGGCUGCGCUCGGGUGGGGCGGCUCAAGCAGCGUUGCGGACGGAGCUGAGCGCUUGUGGGCCCCUGGGCCGCGCUGAAAACCAGGCGGAGCUGCUGGGGGCGCUGCAGGCACUGGUGGGAGGUGUAGUGCAGUAUGAUGGGCAGGCUGGAGCGCCGCUAAGCGUGCGACAGCUCUGCGGACUUCUCCUCGGGGGCGGGGGCAACCGCAGCCACUCCACGCCCUACUGCGGGCUUCGUCGGGCGGUGCAGGGGACACAGACCCCUGGCAUGUGCUAAGUGUAACACAGGCUUUAGGAUCCUCAGAAUCAACUCUUCUUAUCCGCACUGGCUCCCACUGCUUGGACAUGGCACCUGAGAGGCCCUCAGACUCCCCCAGCCUCCGCCUAGGGCGCCAGAACAUCUUCCAGCAGCUACAGACCUGGCUCAAGCUGGCAAAGGAGAGCCAGAUUAAGGGUGAAGUCUGAAUCUCAUACCCUUUCCACUCCCUGUAUGGUCACCUCAGUCUUGGACAUACUUGUUCACUGAACAAAAGAAAGCAGCUUGUUUUGAAAGAAGAAACUCCCAGGAAUUGGAAUUCAGCACCUGUUCCGCGUGUAACUGGCAUGUGUCUGCAAACAUCUUUAUUCCCAACUUAAAGUGCUUUAUUGCAGAGAGUUAUGGAAAUAUAAGUGGAUGAUUAUUCUCAUUGUAAAUAUUGGUAUUUUGAAUGUUAAAUGUCAAACAAAUGUGACUUAUGCUGGUGCCCUCCCCCUGCUGAUCAGAUUCUGGUUCAAAUUCUGCCACUCCACCUCCUGGGUUAGGGGCUUUGCUGUAAGUUUCUUUUUCUGGACUUUAGAUCCUGAACCUGUCCUUGCUUCUCAGUUUCUCUCACUGUACCCCUUUCCCUCAGUCUCUUCCUCUCUCUUUCCCCUGUCACUAUUUGUCUUUCUAAUCUCCUUCUGUUUCUCUGAAUAUCUUCAUUUCUAUCUCUGUGUUUUUGUCUAUUUCUCUGUUUAUCUUUCUGUUCUUCCAUCUGUGUUUUUGUUUCUCGCUCUCCGUCAGUGUCUUUGUCUCUCCUCUCUCUCUUGCUCUGCCCUGGCUAUUUCCACUGCUCUAUUUCUGACUCUCAUUUUUGGUCUCUGUGUGUCUCCUAGUCACUUUCUCUCUCACUCUAUCUCUGUCUCUAUUUCCCUCUCUCCUCUGCUGUGUCCUCAAUCUCUCUGUCUCCCUGAGGCUCUGUUUCUGUCUCUGAUGCUCUUCUUCUGUGUCUCUAUUUCUCUUCCUGUCACUUAAUCUUUUCCUUCUCUAUCUCUCUCAUUUAGUCUUCCUUCCACACCACUCACUCACCAUCUCUUCCCACAAUCAAAUAUCACUCCCUGGUACUUCCAGCUUCCAACCCUAGGGAUUCAUGAUUCUGGUGGAGACUCCUUCUUCCAGGGCCUGGGAGGAUAGGGCUAAUCCCAAGGGUGCCUGCUUAGGCUAUGUUAGCUGUGACAAGAACCUGCCAUAGAUUUGCACUGUUCUUUCCUAAAGAUCAAUUGUUUUCAGCAAUAAAUACUUCUCAGCUUUUUGU